GCCUGAACUGAAACAUCUAAGUAGGGCGAGGAAAAGACAUCAACCGAGAUUCCGCUAGUAGUGGCGAGCGAACGCGGAGGAGGCCAAACCGGAGGAUUUAUUCUCCGGGGUACGGACUUGCAUCACGAUCAGAGGAGCCUAAAAGAACGGCAUGGGAAGGCCGGCCACAGAGGGUGAGAGCCCCGUAUUUGAAAGGUGAGACUGACAGCGAGUAUCCAGAGUACCGCGGGACACGAGGAACCCCGUGGGAAAACGGGUGGACCACCAUCCAAGCCUAAAUACUACCUGAUGACCGAUAGAGGAGCAGUACCGUGAGGGAAAGGUGAAAAGGACCCCGGGAGGGGAGUGAAAGAGAACCUGAAACCUUGUGCUUACAAGCAGUCAAAGCACGUUAAAGUGUGAUGACGUACUUUUUGUAGAACGGUCCGGCGAGUUAUAGUAACGAGCAAGCUUAAGGUAUUCAGUACCGGAGGCGAAGCGAGAGCGAGUCUGAAUAGGGCGUAAAAAGUUCGUUGCCAUAGACCCGAAACCGGGUGACCUAACCAUGAGCAGGCUGAAGUGAGAGUAAAAUCUCAUGGAGGGCCGAACGCACGUUCGUUGCAAUGACCGGCGAUGACUUGUGGUUAGCGGAGAAAUUCCAAUCGAACUCGGAGAUAGCUGGUUCUCCCCGAAAUAGCUUUAGGGCUAGCGUUAUCUUAGAUUACCGGAGGUAAAGCACUGAAUGGGCUAGGGGGCGAUAAGCUUACUGAACCCUAUCAAACUCAGAAUGCCGGCUAAUUGAUGGAUAGCAGUCAGACAGUGUGAGAUAAGUUUCAUUGUCAAAAGGGAAACAGCCCAGACCCACAGCUAAGGUCCCUAAUGUAUGCUAAGUGGAAAACGAUGUGGAAUUGCGAAAACAACCAGGAUGUUGGCUUAGAAGCAGCCACUCAUUAAAAGAGUGCGUAAUAGCUCACUGGUCGAGUGACUCUGCGCGGAAAAUAUAACGGGGCUAAGCAUACAACCGAAGCUUGGGAUUGUCUAAAGACAGUGGUAGGGGAGCGUCGUGUACGGGGUGAAGUCGCAUCGGAAGGAGCGGUGGACUGUACACGAGUGAGAAUGCCGGAAUGAGUAGCGAGAAUUAUGUGGGAAUCAUAAUGGCCGAAAAUCUAAGGUUUCUUGGGGAAGGUUCGUCCGCCCAAGGUAAGCCGGGAGCUAAGGCGAGGCCGCAAGGCGUAGUCGAUGCACAUACGGUAAAGAUUCCGUAGCCGCCGAACUUUAAGUCAGAGGGACACUUGCAGAUAGCGGAACCCAGCCGUUGGUUGAGCUGGGCGAAAGGGACUGAAAUUAGUAGGGAAGUCCGCGAUGCUGAAAGGCGAGAAAAGCUCUGAUGGAUACUAAGGCGCCCGUACCGCAAACCGACACAGGUAGAUGAGGAGAGAAUCCUAAGGCCAACGGGAGAAGGGUUGUUAAGGAACUCGGCAAAUUGACCCCGUAACUUCGGAAGAAGGGGAGCCCCGAAAGGGGCCGCAGUGAAUAGGCCCAAGCAACUGUUUACCAAAAACACAGGUUUAUGCUAAAUCGAAAGAUGACGUAUAUGAGCUGACGCCUGCCCGGUGCCGGAAGGUUAAGAGGAGAGCUUAGAGCAAUCGAAGGUUUGAAUUGAAGCCCCGGUAAACGGCGGCCGUAACUAUAACGGUCCUAAGGUAGCGAAAUUCCUUGUCAGGUAAGUUCUGACCCGCACGAAUGGCGUAAUGAUUUGGGCACUGUCUCGACAGCCCGCCCGGCGAAAUUGUAGUACUGGUGAAGAUGCCAGUUACCCGCAACUAGACGGAAAGACCCCAUGGAGCUUUACUGCAGUUUAAUACUGGGAAUCGGUAAUGCAUGUACAGGAUAGGUGGGAGACAUGGAAGCAUGGUCGUCAGGUCAUGUGGAGUCACCGGUGGGAUACCACUCUUGUAUUGCUGAUUUCCUAACCUGCGGCCGUGAAUCCGGUCGGGGGACACUGUUAGACGGGCAGUUUGACUGGGGCGGUCGCCUCCAAAAGAGUAACGGAGGCGCUCAAAGGUUCGUUCAGCACGGACGGAAAUCGUGCAUUGAGUGUAAACGCAUAAACGAGCCUAACUGCGAGACCGACGGGUCGAGCAGUAACGAAAGUUGGAGUUAGUGAUCCGGUGGUAUGUGAGUGGAAAUGCCAUCGCUCAACGGAUAAAA
rnacentral:rRNA from 1 species